ACGAAAAUGUCACCUGAAGUGACACGAGGAAAAUGUGGUGCUUGAAAGGGGAUACAAAAUGUACUUUUGAUUGUUUGUAUAUAGAUUGUUGGUUGUGUGGCCACCCACCAAGUGUGAAAUUAACCAAGCAAGAGUUAAAUUAGCCAGUGGUGGCUUCAGGCAGGGAAAAUAAAAGCUGCGUGAAGAGAAGGGGGGGCUGGGCUGUGACUUCCCGAGCCUACUCUCCAUUCUCAUCGGUCACUGCCAAGCACUCUCCGCAGGACCGGAGCCACUGAAUUAUUGAAGACGCCACCGUCCCAAAGACAGGAAGACAUCACCUCCCUUCAUCUUAGCUGUCAAGAUAACAUCUUGUUGACUUCACCCGAGACUCAAGAUUGUAUUUUGACCAGCGCCGAUCAUCCCUCUAGCAGACAGCGCUCAGCGCCGGCUCGCCCACCUUGGAGAUCUUAUUAAGCACGGCGAGAGAGGGAUGGUGCGGAAUAGGAAUGGGAAGAUAGACGGACGAGACAAGGAUCACAAGACGGAGAAGGUGAUAUCGGAUGGGUACAGCCUGGACUGAUCACGUCAACCACAUCGUUUUUGGUGUGCAUGACCAUGAAUACACAUGUUCUUCCUAAUAAAGUCUUGAAGAUGGUCCAUUAUUUCCUACAGGAAGAAUUGUUCUGAAAUGAGGUUUGAUGUUCUAGUGUACUCUCACACUUUUACUACCAAAGCACUCUGCCAAGCCAACAGCUGUUUGUCGCUUUUUUUUUUUGUCACAGUUUAUGACUGCAACAUAUUGUGGCAAAGUGUUUUGUGGUGAGAGCUGAAAUGAUCCCGCGACUGAGCUUGGUUGUACGAUAGUUGCUAGAAACCUCAAAAUACUGCUUGCUGACAUA